rnacentral:misc_RNA from 1 species
GAUGAAGAACGCAGCGAAAUGCAAUAAGUAAUGUGAAUUGCAGAAUUCAGUGAAUCAUCGAAUCUUUGAACGCACCUUGCACCCUUUGGCAUUCUGAAGGGUAUGCUCGUUUGAGUGUCAUUGUACUCUCACACUCCCGAUCUUUGCAUUGGGAGCAGUGGACUUGGGUUUGCUGCUUCACCGUCGCUUACCUCAAAUAGGUUAGUGCAACUCUUGGUUGGACAUAGUACGGCGUGAUAAGUGUUCUUCGCCGGUGCCUCGCAAAGAGGGUGGCCGAUCGGGAUGUUGUGCUCCAAACCGUCUUCGGACAAUCUCUGACGACUUGACCUCAAAUCGAGUAAGACUACCCGCUGAACUUAAGCAUAUCAAUAAGCGGAGGA